UGGGGAAUAUUGGACAAUGGGCGCAAGCCUGAUCCAGCAAUGCCGCGUGAGUGAUGAAGGCCUUAGGGUUGUAAAGCUCUUUCGCACGCGACGAUGAUGACGGUAGCGUGAGUAGAAGCCCCGGCUAACUUCGUGCCAGCAGCCGCGGUAAUACGAAGGGGGCUAGCGUUGUUCGGAAUUACUGGGCGUAAAGGGCGCGUAGGCGGCCUGUUUAGUCAGAAGUGAAAGCCCCGGGCUCAACCUGGGAAUAGCUUUUGAUACUGGCAGGCUUGAGUUCCGGAGAGGAUGGUGGAAUUCCCAGUGUAGAGGUGAAAUUCGUAGAUAUUGGGAAGAACACCGGUGGCGAAGGCGGCCAUCUGGACGGACACUGACGCUGAGGCGCGAAAGCGUGGGGAGCAAACAGAUUAGAUACCCUGNAGUCCACGCGUAAACGUGAAUGCUNGACGUCGGGGUGCAUNCACUUCGUGUCGCCGCUAACGCAUUAAGCAUUCCGCCUGGGGAGUACGGCCGCAAGGUUAAAACUUAAAUGAAUUGACGGGGUCAUAGCUGUUUCCU
rnacentral:rRNA from 1 species